GGUCAAUUGUUUUUGGAUUCUUCAAUCUCAAGAGAGUAGUAUAAUGCAUCAAAAAUGCUUACUGAAUCUUUUCUCGGAUGUUGAGAAUUUUAUCUUCAUCAUGAAUUGCUAGAAUUUGAUUUUGCCUCCUUCUGUUUGAUGUACUAAUAAGAAAAAGUCUUGUGUUAUGGUCUUUCUCAUUUAACCAUUAGUUCCUAGGCUAUUG
rnacentral:lncRNA from 1 species